UGUUAAAAAUUUCAUCCAUGUCUAUUAUUAAAAGUCUACGUAGCUAACGGAAUAAUCAAAGAGUUACAUGUGAUGUGCGAUGUAUAUCUCAUGUUGACAUACAAUGACAAGUUUUUAAUAGUAAAAAUGAAUAAAAUUUUUAAUA
rnacentral:pre_miRNA from 1 species